rnacentral:rRNA from 1 species
GACGAACGCUGGCGGCGUGCUUAACACAUGCAAGUCGAACGGCAAGGCCCUGAUUUCGUGGGGUGCUCGAGUGGCGAACGGGUGCGUAACACGUGAGUAACCUGCCCUUGACUUUGGGAUAACUUCAGGUAACUGGGGCUACUACAGUAUCGGAGACCCCGUUGCGUGGUGGGGGUUGGAACGUUUCGGCGGUCGGGGAUGGACUCGCGGCUUACCAGCUUGUUGGUGGGGUAGUGGCUUACCCAGUCUUUGACGGGUAGCCGGCCUGAGAGGGUGGCCGGCGACAAGGGGACUACGAGACGGCCCAGUCGGGAACGGGAGGCAACAGGGGGGAAUAUGACACAGUGGUCCCGAGUCUGAGGCGACGACGCCGGGGUUGGGAUGACGGCCUGCGGGGAAAGAACAGCUUUCGGCUGAGACGAAGCGGUAGUGACGGUAAUGGGUGAAGAAGCACCGGCUAACUACGUG